GGCUUCGUGGUCGCGUGGUAAAGAAACUUGCCUCUCAACGUGGGGUCCCGGGUUCGAUCCCCGGUCGAGGAGCUA